rnacentral:rRNA from 1 species
AGAGUUUGAUCCUGGCUCAGGACGAACGCUGGCGGCGCGCCUAACACAUGCAAGUCGAACGAGCGAGAGAGAGCUUGCUUUCUUGAGCGAGUGGCGAACGGGUGAGUAACGCGUGAGGAACCUGCCUCAAAGAGGGGGACAACAGUUGGAAACGACUGCUAAUACCGCAUAAGCCCACGGUGCCGCAUGGCACAGAGGGAAAAGGAGCAAUCCGCUUUGAGAUGGCCUCGCGUCCGAUAGCUAGUAGGUGAGGUAAUGGCCCACCAAGGCGACGAUCGGUAGCCGGACUGAGAGGUUGAACGGCCACAUUGGGACUGAGACACGGCCCAGACUCCUACGGGAGGCAGCAGUGGGGAAUAUUGCACAAUGGGGGAAACCCUGAUGCAGCGACGCCGCGUGGAGGAAGAAGGUCUUCGGAUUGUAAACUCCUGUUGUUGAGGAAGAUAAUGACGGUACUCAACAAGGAAGUGACGGCUAACUACGUGCCAGCAGCCGCGGUAAAACGUAGGUCACAAGCGUUGUCCGGAAUUACUGGGUGUAAAGGGAGCGCAGGCGGGAAGACAAGUUGGAAGUGAAAUCCAUGGGCUCAACCCAUGAACUGCUUUCAAAACUGUUUUUCUUGAGUAGUGCAGAGGUAGGCGGAAUUCCCGGUGUAGCGGUGGAAUGCGUAGAUAUCGGGAGGAACACCAGUGGCGAGGGCGGCCUACUGGGCACCAACUGACGCUGAGGCUCGAAAGUGUGGGUAGCAAACAGGAUUAGAUACCCUGGUAGUCCACACUGUAAACGAUGAUUACUAGGUGUUGGAGGAUUGACCCCUUCAGUGCGGCAGUUAACACAAUAAGUAAUCCACCUGGGGAGUACGACCCCAAGGUUGAAACUCAAAGGAAUUGACGGGGGCCCGCACAAGCAGUGGAGUAUGUGGUUUAAUUCGACGCAACGCGGAGAACCUUACCAAGUCUUGACAUCCAUCGACGACUAUAGAAAUAUAGUUUUCCUUCGGGACGGUGAGACAGGUGGUGCAUGGUUGUCGUCAGCUCGUGUCGUGAGAUGUUGGGUUAAGUCCCGCAACGAGCGCAACCCUUAUGGUCAGUUACUACGCAAGAGGACUCUGGCCAUACUGCCGUUGACAAAACGGAGGAAGGUGGGGAUGACGUCAAAUCAUCAUGCCCUUUAUGACUUGGGCUACACACGUACUACAAUGGCGUU